rnacentral:rRNA from 1 species
CCCCUAGACGUUCUGGGCUGCACGCGCGCUACAAUGAUACGCACAGCGAGUAUCACCGAGCUCGAAAGGGCAAGGUAAACAAUAGAAAAGGUACUGUAAUGGUUAUAGAUCCUUGUAAUUAUUGAUCUUCAACGAGGAAUUCCUAGUAAGUAUGUGUCAUCAUCACGCACUGAUUACGUCCCUGCCCUUUGUACACACCGCCCGUCGCUCCUACCGAUUGGGUGAGCCGAUGAAACUCUCGGAUGUAGGCUAUUCAUAGCCCGCAGAAGAGAUUUGAAUCGUAGCGCUUAGAGGAAGGAGAAGUCGUAACA